rnacentral:rRNA from 1 species
UGCUAGUCGCACGAGCUCAGACUCGUGGCGAAUAGCUCAGUAACACGUGGCCAAACUACCCUUCGGAACACAAUACCCUCGGGAAACUGAGGCUAAUAGUGUAUACCACAUCACACCUGGAAUGAGUGAUGUGUCAAACGCUCCGGCGCCGGAGGAUGUGGCUGCGGCCGAUUAGGUAGACGGUGGGGUAACGGCCCACCGUGCCAAUAAUCGGUACGGGUCAUGAGAGUGAGAACCCGGAGACGGAAUCUGAGACAAGAUUCCGGGCCCUACGGGGCGCAGCAGGCGCGAAACCUUUACACUGCACACCAGUGCGAUAAGGGAAUCCCAAGUGCGUAGGCAUAGAGCCUACGCUUUUGGCCACCGUAGGGAGGUGGACGAAUAAGGGCUGGGCAAGACCGGUGCCAGCCGCCGCGGUAAUACCGGCAGCCCGAGUGAUGGCCGAUCUUAUUGGGCCUAAAGCGUCCGUAGCUGGCCGCGCAAGUCCAUCGGAAAAUCCACCCGCUCAACGGGUGGGCGUCCGGUGGAAACUGCGUGGCUUGGGACCGGAAGGCGCGACGGGUACGUCCGGGGUAGGAGUGAAAUCCCGUAAUCCUGGACGGACCGCCGAUGGCGAAAGCACGUCGCGAGGACGGAUCUGACAGUGAGGGACGAAAGCCAGGGUCUCGAACCGGAUUAGAUACCCGGGUAGUCCUGGCUGUAAACAAUGUCUGUUAGGUGUGGCUCCCACUACGAGUGGGUGCUGUGCCGUA